GGGGGUAUAUAAAUCUGUGCUGAACGGUUGCAGUUGAAUGGCAGGAGCGCGAUGCUCGGCUCCGUCGGUGCCACGGGCACACGCACACCCGAGGGGUGGGGGGAAGGAGAAGAGGGAGGCACAGUCAUCUGACCCCCUUUCCUCCCCCCUUCCCCCCCCCCCAAAAAAAUCCCUUUUGAGCAUCUUGCCAUCAGGAGAGCUGUCACUCACUCGUCAAGCCAUUUAUUUCAUCCAAUAA
rnacentral:lncRNA from 1 species